ensembl:miRNA Gm25190 predicted gene, 25190
AGAGGCAGGCAGAUCUCUUGAGUUCGAGGCCAGCCUGGUCUACAGAGUGAGUUCCAGGACAGCCAGGGCUACACAGAGAAACCCUGUCUCGAAAA